ACUUGGAAACAGGUGCUAAUACCGCAUAACCAUGAACACCGCAUGAUGUUCGUGUAAAAGACGGCUUUUGCUGUCGCUUUUGGAUGGCCUGCGGCGUAUUAAUUUGUUGGUGGGGUAACGGCCUACCAAGGUGAUGAUACGUAGCCGAACUGAGAGGUUGAUCGGCCACAUUGGGACUGAGACACGGCCCAAACUCCUACGGGAGGCAGCAGUAGGGAAUCUUCCACAAUGGACGAAAGUCUGAUGGAGCAACGCCGCGUGAAUGAAGAAGGCCUUCGGGUCGUAAAAUUCUGUUGUCAGAGAAGAAUGUGCGUGAGAGUAACUGUUCACGUAUUGACGGUAUCUGACCAGAAAGCCACGGCUAACUACAUGCCAGCAGCCGCGGUAAUACGUAGGUGGCAAGCGUUGUCCGGAUUUAUUGGGCGUAAAGGGAACUCAGGCGGUCUUUUAAGUCUGAUGUGAAAGCCUUCGGCUUAACCGAAGUAGUGCAUUGGAAACUGGAAGACUUGAGUGCAGAAGAGGAGAGUGGAACUCCAUGUGCAGCGGUGAAAUGCGUAGAUAUAUGGAAGAACACCAGUGGCGAAAGCGGCUCUCUGGUCUGUAACUGACGCUGAGGUUCGAAAGCGUGGGUAGCAAACAGGAUUAGAUACCCUGGUAGUCCACGCCGUAAACGAUGAGUGCUAAGUGUUGGAGGGUUUCCGCCCUUCAGUGCUGCAGCUAACGCAUUAAGCACUCCGCCUGGGGAGUACGGUCGCAAGACUGAAACUCAAAGGAAUUGACGGGGGCCCGCACAAGCGGUGGAGCAUGUGGUUUAAUUCGAAGCAACGCGAAGAACCUUACCAGGCCUUGACAUCUUCUGACAAUUCCAGAGAUGGAACGUUCCCUUCGGGGACAGAAUGACAGGUGGUGCAUGGUUGUCGUCAGCUCGUGUCGUGAGAUGUUGGGUUAAGUCCCGCAACGAGCGCAACCCUUAUUGUCAGUUGCCAUCAUUAAGUUGGGCACUCUGGCGAGACUGCCGGUGACAAACCGGAGGAAGGUGGGGAUGACGUCAAAUCAUCAUGCCCCUUAUGACCUGGGCUACACACGUGCUACAAUGGACGGUACAACGAGUCGCUAACUCGCGAGGGCAAGCUAAUCUCUUAAAGCCGUUCUCAUUUCGGAUUGCAGGCUGCAACUCGCCUGCAUGAAGUCGGAAUCGCUAGUAAUCGCGAAUCAGCAUGUCGCGGUGAAUACGUUCCCGGGCCUUGUACACACCGCCCGUCACACCAUGAGAGUUUGUAACACCCAAAGUCGGUGGGGUAACCUUUUGGAGCCAGCCGCCCAAGGUGGGACAGAUGAUUGGGGUGAAGUCGUAACAAGGUAGCCGUAGGAGAACCUGCGGCUG
rnacentral:rRNA from 1 species